CCUACGGGAGGCAGCAGUGGGGAAUAGUGCACAAUGGGGGAAACCCUGAUGCAGCGACGCCGCGUGAGUGAAGAAGUAUUUCGGUAUGUAAAGCUCUAGCAGCAGGGAAGAAAAUGACGGUACCUGAGGAAGAAGCACCGGCUAACUACGUGCCAGCAGCCGCGGUAAGACGUAGGGGGCAAGCGUGAUCCGGAUUUACUGGGGGUAAAGGGAGCGUAGACGGCAGCACAAGUCUGGAUUGAAAUGCCGGGGCUUAACCCCGGAACGGCUUUGGAAACUGUGCAGCUAGAGUGCAGGAGAGGUUAGUGCAAUUCCUAGUGUAGCGGUGACAUGCGUAGAUAUUAGGAGGAACCCCAGUGGCGAAGGCGGCUUACUGUACUGUAACUGACGUUGCGGCUCGAACGCGUGGGGAGCAAACAGGAUUAGAUACCCUUGUAGUC
rnacentral:rRNA from 1 species